rnacentral:tRNA from 1 species
GCCGAGGUAGCCUAGCUGGUUGGGGCGUCGGACUCAUAAUCCGAAGGUCCCGGGUUCAAAUCCCGGCCUCGGCA